GCCUCAAUAGCUCAGCGGUAGAGCGUUCCACUCGUAAUGGAAAGGUCGGGUGUUCAAUCCACCCUUGAGGCA
rnacentral:tRNA from 1 species